GACGUAGGGCGCGAGCGUUGUCCGGAUUUAUUGGGCGUAAAGAGCUCGUAGGCGGCUUGUUGCGUCGACCGUGAAAACCCGCGGCUUAACUGCGGGCUUGCGGUCGAUACGGGCGGGCUGGAGUUCGGUAGGGGAGACUGGAAUUCCUGGUGUAGCGGUGGAAUGCGUAGAUAUCGGGAGGAACACCAGUGGCGAAGGCGGUUGCCUGGAGCUUUGCUGACGCUGAGGCGCGAAAGCGUGGGGAGCGAUCCGG
rnacentral:rRNA from 1 species